AUUGAACGCUGGCGGCAGGCCUAACACAUGCAAGUCGAGCGAGCGGCGGGCGGGUGAGGAAUGUGUGGGUACCUGCCCGCUGGAGGGGGAUAACUACUGGAAACGGUAGCUAAUACCGCAUACGGUCCGGUGUACCCAGAUGGGAUUAGCUAGUAGGUGGGGUAAUGGCUCACCAAGGCGACGAUCCCUAGCUGGUCUGAGAGGAUGACCAGCCACACUGGGACUGAGACACGGCCCAGACUCCUACGGGAGGCAGCAGUGGGGAAUAUUGCACAAUGGGCGCAAGCCUGAUGCAGCCAUGCCGCGUGUGUGAAGAAGGCCUUAGGGUUGUAAAGCACUUUCAGCAGGGAGGCGGUACCUGCAGAAGAAGCACCGGCUAACUCCGUGCCAGCAGCCGCGGUAAUUC
rnacentral:rRNA from 1 species